CACACCCAUGCAACCACCGACAUGGCGACAACGACGGCAGCACCAACAUCACCACCACAUUAGCUCUCUCUCUCUCUCUCUCUCUCUCUCUCUCUUCGUCUCUGUUGAGCACAGAGGAACUCCGGCGAGUUCGUCGUCUUUCCGACGAUUGGUAAGCCUCGGGACCCUUGAAAUCCCUUCAUCUUUGUCCUUGUGGUCUAUAACUAACUUGGAUUGUGUUUUUGGGAUGACGAAAUUGCACGGAGACGCCACGGGUGUGCUAAACCCAGUUUUCCGGUGAGCCGUGGGUGUGCGACCCAAGUCCGGCCACGUCCGGCCCAGUAUUUUACAGAUUCUUGGGGCUGUGAAGAUAUGAAGGAAGUAGUCUAUGUUAUUUUAAGCAGAAAAUUCAAGCUGCAAACAAGUUACUUACUCCUACAAACACAUGUGCAUUCUCUACCCCAACUUUCUAGGAUAAAAAAUUACGUCUUUCAUUUUUCCGCAGUUGUGUUGUGGCCGAGGACAUCGGCAUAGACCUUGCAGCAGACAAAGUUGAUGGAAUGAAGUGUAUCGUAACCAAAAGCGGGUACACAGCUGAAGAAGACUUCCAUAAUGCAGAUUUAGUCUUUGACUUCAUUGGAGAUCCCCCGGAGGAGCGAAAUUUCAUUCAGUGCUGGUCCUCCAUCUACAAUACCCUUGGAUGGUGAUUAGGGUUUCAGCUAAAGAUAAUAGACGAAUGAUAGUCUGCGUUCGGUGGUAAUCCUGAUGUAGAUAUUCCUGUUGAAGUAGUAUUUCGGUUGUAUACAAGUUUAGAAGAAUUAUGGUGUUAAGAAUGUACAUGUUUUAUAUGGGACGGAUCUGUAAAUAUUGCCAGCAUUGGAGACUUUAACAUCGUCAAAUGGGGUUGGAUUUAGCCUUUUGAUGUUUGAUAAAAAAGACCUCAAUAUGAAUGGCCAUAAAUUUGAAUAUGAGUUCUCUUAUUUGACUUCACCUGUAGUAUUCUGUGUCCGAGUGUAAAGAUAGUGAAGCUUUGUGGUGGUCUCAGAUCUGUAACCUAUGUCAAGAAGCAGGAAUGCAUGCAGUCUGGAAGAACCGGUAUGUCAUAUUCCCAAGGGACUUCCGAAUUAUUGCGGUGAUGAUGUAAGAUAUCGAGCCAUGGAAUGGUUUUAUUUUAUUUUAUUUUUUAUUUUUUUAUUUUAUUUUUGAGAAGGGGUUUUAUUUUCUUUUUGUCUUUCGGAUAAUGUGGGUUGUUUUAGUUGGAGAAUUGUUUAGGGAAAACUGUAACAAAGUACACUGAAAUUGACGUUCCAUUCUUACUGUUUGUAGAGA